CUUCCUCCCUGACUGUUCCACCUGCCUGCAGUCUGAUUGCAGCAAUGAGAAUCAGCUGCUGUAAUUGGCUCACCACCAGUAACCUGUUUGCAAUUCCACCUCCCAGCAUAUAAGCCAGCUCUGUCAUUCACUCUCUGCUCCACCAUGAGCUCUGAUGGCCUGCAUCAACUCGUGACCACCAGAGCUUCUUCGACAUGACUCUGCCCUCUAACCCCUGCCGGUUCCUGUUUGGGUUUCCUACCUACCCCUUCAGCUGAGUUUCUUCCUGUUAUUUUGCUUUCAGCCCUUCCUCCCUGACUGUUCCACCUGCCUGCAGUCUGAUUGCAGCAAUGAGAAUCAGCUGCCAUAAUUGGCUCACCACCAGUCACCUGUUUGCAAUUCCACCUCCCAGCAUAUAAGCCAGCUCUGUCAUUCACUCUCUGCUCCACCAUGAGCUCUGAUGGCCUGCAUCAACUCGUGACCACCGGAGCUUCUUGGACACGAUGCUGCCCUUGUACCCCUGCCGGUUCCUGUUUGGGUUUCCUACCUACCCCUUCAGUUGAGUUUCUUCCUAUUCCCUUCCUCCCUGACUGUUCCACCUGCCUGCAGUCUGAUUGCAGCAAUGAGAAUCAGCUGCCAUAAUUGGCUCACCACCAGUCACCUGUUUGCAAUUCCACCUCCCAGCAUAUAAGCCAGCUCUGUCAUUCACUCUCUGCUCCACCAUGAGCUCUGAUGGCCUGCAUCAACUCGUGACCACCAGAGCUUCUUGGACACGAUGCUGCCCUUGUACCCCUGCCGGUUCCUGUUUGGGUUUCCUACCUACCCCUUCAGCUGAGUUUCUUCCUGUUCCCUUCCUCCCUGACUGUUCCACCUGCCUGCAGUCUGAUUGCAGCAAUGAGAAUCAGCUGCCAUAAUUGGCUCACACCAGUCACCUGUUUGCAAUUCCACCUCCCAGCAUAUAAGCCAGCUCUGUCAUUCACUCCCUGCUCCACCAUGGAUGCGCACAUCCUGCAUCAACUCGUGACCACCAGAGCUUCUUGGACACGAUGCUGCCCUUGUACCCCUGCUGGUUCCUGUUUGGGUUUCCUACCUACCCCUUCAGCUGAGUUUCUUCCUAUUCUUUCAGCCCUUCCUCCCUGACUGUUCCACCUGCCUGCAGUCUGAUUGCAGCAAUGAGAAUCAGCUGCCAUAAUUGGCUCACCACCAGUCACCUGUUUGCAAUUCCACCUCCCAGCAUAUAAGCCAGCUCUGUCAUUCACUCCCUGCUCCACCAUGGAUGCGCACAUCCUGCAUCAACUCGUGACCACCAGAGCUUCUUGGACACGAUGCUGCCCUUGUACCCCUGCCGGUUCCUGUUUGGGUUUCCUACCUACCCCUUCAGCUGAGUUUCUUCCUAUUCCCUUCCUCCCUGACUGUUCCACCUGCCUGCAGUCUGAUUGCAGCAAUGAGAAUCAGCUGCCAUAAUUGGCUCACACCAGUCACCUGUUUGCAAUUCCACCUCCCAGCAUAUAAGCCAGCUCUGUCAUUCACUCCCUGCUCCACCAUGGAUGCGCACAUCCUGCAUCAACUCGUGACCACCAGAGCUUCUUGGACACGAUGCUGCCCUUGUACCCCUGCCGGUUCCUGUUUGGGUUUCCUGCCUACCCCUUCAGCUGAGUUUCUUCCCAUUACCAUCUGCUACAAAGCAUUACUGGGUAACAGAUACACCUAAUGAAGAUCAGAAAUAUUCAAGCAGAAACCUUCAGCUUCCAUGAAGAUUGAAAUCAUUCUGCCAUGAAGACCUAACAACCUUCAAAGACAAAUUGAAAAUGGGAAGAAGUGCUGCGGAGCGCUGCGUCACCCUGCGGAGCGCUGCGUCACCCUGCGGAGCGCUGCGUCACCCUGCGGAGCCUCAACUCAACUCAACUCAACUCAACUCAACUCAACUCAAC